CCGCCUUGGAUCACGGCCACAGUGUUUGGAUCAUGCAUAUAUCUAUAAUGCAGCAGUUGUACUCAAUCCGUGGAUCCUGAUCUUUCCAGUCUGUUUUUUAGAUAACCUAUGAAAUAACGGUUGAAUGGAUAGCAAUUUACCAGAUUAAAAAAUAUAUUAUGUAAUUUACUGAAGAGAAUCAUAUACAGAAAGUUUACGAAAUUUUUUAUUCAAUUGUAAACAAAGUAACUUGUGUAUUAUAAAAAUAUCAUCAAUAAUGGCGGAACUAGCAUCUGACAACAAUGUGGAUGAAUGUCCACUAGCAAAAAAGGCUAAGUUAAACACUGAAAAUUCAUCUGAAAAUACCAAGAGUAUACAUGAAAAUGACGUUACUUUGCCUGCCUUUGAUUUAACAAAAGUAUUACAAACUAAUUGUAUGAGGAAACAAAUAUGGGUUCAAGGCACUUUUGAAGGUUAUGACGGGCCGGCUAUUAUAACACUGGAAAAACAGAAUUUUGUAGAUGACGAGAAAGCAUUAAAAGAAUUUUUCUCCAAAGAUACAGCCUUUCAGAAACUUUAUAGUAAUACUAUUUAUGGAAAUUAUGAAUGCUUUCCAGCCAAGAAAUAUACUGGUAUAAAUGCAAUGGUAAUACAUCCUGCUACAUCAAAACAUAUAGAUAAGUUUACAAAAAAAGAAUUAUACAUGAUAGAUGAGACAUAUGAACUUUAUCAAAAAAUUACUCUCCCAUACAUAGAAUCAAGUAGUUUUUCUACAGAGUGGAUACACAAUAUUUUAGAACACAAGGCAGAACAGGAUAAAAUAGUUUAUGAGGAUAGAAAUGAAAAAACUGGAUUUGUAUUAGUAAAUGAUUUGAAAUGGGAUGGACAACUAAACACGUUAAAAUUAAUAGCACUCCCGUUACAAAAAAUUAAAUCGAUAAGAGAACUAAAUGCAUCUCAUCUUCCGCUAUUGAAAAAUAUAAGAGAUGCUGGAAUAGCUGCAAUUGCUAAAAAAUUUAAAUUAUCCGCUUCUCAACUUAGAAUAUAUUUACAUUAUCAACCGUCGUACUAUUAUCUGCACGUUCAUUUUGCAUAUCUUAUGUAUGAUGCACCAGGUAUAUUCGUAGAAAAAGCGCAUCUUUUAUCUAUGGUUAUAAGAAAUAUCGAGCUAAUGUCCGACUAUUAUACAAAAGCUGUGCUUUCUUACGUAGUUGCCGAAGGUGAUGCUCUGUAUAUUAAAUACAAGGAAGAAGGAGCUAUAACUGAACUAAACUCUAAAACCACCGAAGUUUAAAAAUAGUGCAUUUAGCUUGUGAACAAAAAUGUAUACAUUCAAAAAUAGGGGACAAAGAACAUUAUUGUAUGGAAUUAAUGUUGUGACGGCUUCAUGGAGUACAAUGUGAACAGAAUUAAAAGAAAACUGAAACAGAGUUAUUCUCAAUCAAACAAACAGUUUGGAACAAUGGUUCAACAACCAAUAUAAAAACAUAUUUAAUCCUUUCAUCGUGGCAAACUUCUACUAUAAUAAGCUCAAGCCUGCCUGAUCAGAGAAAUAGCUUACAGUCGUCAAAGAUUAUUAAUUUGAAAGAAAAUGAAAAAUUGUAUCGAUUGAGCAGUCGACAACAACAUGUACAUAGAAGAAUCUCUUGUAAUAUGUCUCGUAUACCAUCGGGUUUGUAAUGAUCACGACAAAUACGGAAAUAAUGAACAUCCAUGUAUGUAGUUACAAGCAUACGUAUUAAGAAUGUGUUCAUUGUCUGUAUGAAAUUAAGUUUCGCUGUUAGAACAAGGUUUUUUUUCUUUUGUAAGUUCAAUGAAAAUUUCUUCUUCCAUUGUUUCGCUUAAAUAAAUAUUAAAAAUUCGGUUAUUCUUAACAAGCUAUGCACAUUUACAAGGACUAGACGAGUACUUUACACCAACUAAAAAAUUGGAAAGUUGACGAAUGAAUCGCGUGACAAAUGUUAAAAAAAAUGAGAUUAUUUUAUAAUACUUAUACUUAAGCAGAGAAGGACAUUUGCGUGCAUAGUCAGUACAUUAUCAGACAAAAAGUAUAGUUUAGCGUGAUUCGUAUACUGUUUCACUUCCAACAUUUCCUUAACGCAUAAUAAAACAGAAAAAGAUUGAUUAAAUACGUGGAUUGUUCAGUGUCAGCUUUUAUAAAAUAUUGAGUUACAGAUCAAUGUUUGAAAAUCAUUUAUCAAAGAGUUAUACGCUUCUAUUUGGUAACGAAACUAUUCGUUUAAAUUUCGUAGCUCUAUUUUGGAAGCAAAUCCAGUAUUAUACUAAUAUUGUAUAACAUCCAUGACUUCAUUUGUGCGAUUAUAGUAAGUAUAAGAGCUUAUCAGUUCUUGAUCUUGUUUAAGAAACUACAAAAUUCAAAUAUAACUCUUUAAUAAACAACUUUUUUUUAACAAAAA